GGGGCUGUAGCUCAGUGGCAGAGUACUUGCCUAGCAUGUAUGAGAUACUGGUUCAAUCCUCAGCACCA
rnacentral:tRNA from 1 species